rnacentral:rRNA from 14 species
AUGGAGAGUUUGAUCCUGGCUCAGGAUGAACGCUAGCGGCAGGCUUAAUACAUGCAAGUCGAGGGGCAGCGCAGUGUAGCAAUACAUGGGCGGCGACCGGCAAACGGGUGCGGAACACGUACAGAACCUUCCUUCGAGCGGGGAAUAGCCCAGAGAAAUUUGGAUUAAUACCCCAUAGUAUUAUGGAGUGGCAUCACUUUAUAAUUAAAGAUUUAUCACUUGAAGAUGGCUGUGCGGCUGAUUAG